rnacentral:rRNA from 1 species
UACGUAGGGGGCUAGCGUUGUCCGGAAUCAUUGGGCGUAAAGCGCGUGUAGGCGGUCCGGUAAGUCCGCUGUGAAAGUCGGGGGCUCAACCCUCGAAUGCCGGUGGAAACUGUCGAGCUCGAGUCCGGAAGAGGCGAGUGGAAUUCCUGGUGUAGCGGUGAAAUGCGCAGAUAUCAGGAGGAACACCAAUGGCGAAGGCAGCUCGCUGGGACGGUACUGACACUGAGACGCGAAAGCGUGGGGAGCAAACAGG